UCCUGUUUAGCUCAGUCGGUAGAGCGCUUGACUGUUAAUCAAGAUGUCACUGGUUCAAGUCCAGUAACAGGAGCCA
rnacentral:tRNA from 1 species